rnacentral:miRNA from 1 species
UGCAAAGUAAAGAUAGGUUAAU